rnacentral:rRNA from 1 species
CGCCUUGCCAGCCCGCUACAGAAACUCAAAGGCAUUGACGGGGCCCGCACAAGCGGAGGAACAUGUGGUUUAAUUCGAUGAUACGCGAGGAACCUUACCUGGGCUAGAACGCAUUCGGAAUCAGGCCGAAAGGCCUGCGCCAGCGAUGGCCGCUUGCGAGGUGCUGCAUGGUUGUCGUCAGCUCGUGCCGUGAGGUGUCGGGUUAAGUCCCAUAACGAGCGCAACCCCUACUGCUAGUUGCCAGCGGGUCAUGCCGGGGACUCUAGCGGAACUGCCAGCGUAAGCUGCGAGGAAGGUGGGGAUGACGUCAAAUCAGCACGGCCCUUACGUCCAGGGCUACACACGUGUUACAAUGGCCGGUACAGAGGGCAGCCACCCCGCGAGGGGGCGCGAAUCCCGAAAGCCGGUCCCAGUUCGGAUCGGAGUCUGCAACCCGACUCCGUGAAGCUGGAUUCGCUAGUAAUCGCGCAUCAGCCACGGCGCGGUGAAUACGUUCCCGGGCCUU